rnacentral:rRNA from 1 species
UCAUUAAAUCAGUUAUCGUUUAUUUGAUAGUACCUUACUACUUGGAUAACCGUGGUAAUUCUAGAGCUAAUACAUGCUAAAAACCUCGACUUCGGAAGGGGUGUAUUUAUUAGAUAAAAAACCAAUGCCCUUCGGGGCUCCCUGGUGAUUCAUAAUAACUUAACGAAUCGCAUGGCCUUGUGCCGGCGAUGGUUCAUUCAAAUUUCUGCCCUAUCAACUUUCGAUUGUUGGGUCUUGGCCAACAAUGGUUUCAACGGGUAACGGGGAAUUAGGGUUCUAUUCCGGAGAGGGAGCCUGAGAAACGGCUACCACAUCCAAGGAAGGCAGCAGGCGCGCAAAUUACCCAAUCCUGAUACAGGGAGGUAGUGACAAUAAAUACUGAUACAGGGCUCUUUUGGGUCUUGUAAUUGGAAUGAGUACAAUUUAAAUCCCUUAACGAGGAACAAUUGGAGGGCAAGUCUGGUGCCAGCAGCCGCGGUAAUUCCAGCUCCAAUAGCGUAUAUUAAAGUUGUUGCAGUUAAAAAGCUCGUAGUUGAACCUUGGGCCUGGCUGGCCGGUCCGCCUCACCGCGUGCACUGGUCCGGCCGGGCCUUUCCUCCUGGGGAGCCGCAUGUCCUUCACUGGGUGUGUCGGGGAACCAGGACUUUUACUUUGAAAAAAUUAGAGUGUUCAAAGCAGGCCUAUGCUCGAAUACAUUAGCAUGGAAUAAUAGAAUAGGACGUGUGGUUCUAUUUUGUUGGUUUCUAGGACCGCCGUAAUGAUUAAUAGGGACAGUUGGGGGCAUCAGUAUUUAAUUGUCAGAGGUGAAAUUCUUGGAUUUAUUAAAGACUAACUACUGCGAAAGCAUUUGCCAAAGAUGUUUUCAUUAAUCAGUGAACGAAAGUUAGGGGAUCGAAGACGAUCCGUCGUAGUCUUAACCAUAAACUAUGCCGACUAGGGAUCGGGCGAUGUUAUCUUUUUGACUCGCUCGGCACCUUACGAGAAAUCAAAGUCUUUGG